rnacentral:tRNA from 1 species
GAGGAUGUAGCUCAGUGAUAUAGCGCCUACUUCGCAUGUAAGAGGCCCCGGGUUCGAACCCCCGCAUCUCCA